UACGUAGGCAGCAAGCGUUGUUCGGAGUUACUGGGGCGUAAAGGGUGUGUAGGCGGUUCUUUAAGUUUGGUGUGAAAUCUCCCGGCUCAACCGGGAGGGUGCGCCGAAUACUGAGGGACUAGAGUGUGGGAGAGGAAAGUGGAAUUCCUGGUGUAGCGGUGAAAUGCGUAGAUAUCAGGAGGAACACCGGUGGUGUAGACGGCUUUCUGGACCAUAACUGACGCUGAGACACGAAAGCGUGGGUAGCGAACAGG
rnacentral:rRNA from 1 species